GGGGUAGUAAAGGUUUCGACAGGGGUCUUGCAGCUGGAGAAGCUAUCCGUUGCGACACGUUAAUCGCAAAACUUAAAUUAAACGCUGAAGACAAUUUAGCACUUGCAGCGUAAGCUGCAAUGUCCGCUCUAGGGCACUCACACUUUAGAAUCCGGGCAUCGACUAUGUGAGAAACGACAUAUGUUAAGCUUUGCGCAUAUGGGCGUAUUAUGAAGCUACCAAACAUGUCAGGGUGUUCGUUUCCUGGCAUAGGAGGGAAUGGGUGUUACACCACGAUAACGGACUAUGAUAGUAGAAGGACAGGGAAUGGGCUUUUGGACACGGGUUCGACUCCCGUCUACUCCAC
rnacentral:tmRNA from 1 species